rnacentral:rRNA from 1 species
CGAAGGUGCAAGCGUUAAUCGGAAUUACUGGGCGUAAAGACGCGCGUAGGUGGUUUUGUUAAGUUGGAGGUGAAAUACCCCGGGCCGUCAACCCUAGGGAACGUGCCUCCCAAAAACUAGCAUGACUAGAGUACGGUAGAGGGUAGUGGAAUUUCCUGUGUAGCGGUGAAAUAGCGUAGAUAUAGGAAGGAACACCAGUGGCGAAGGCGACUACCUGGACUGAUACUGACACUGAGGUGCGAAAGCGUGGGGAGCAAACAGGAUU